ACACCCUUUCUUACAGUCUCCUCUGCUGUCUUCCUCCGUGGCCCACCCACUGCUGUGCUGCCUGGAAUGUGGAUGUCACCAUUUUGGAUCAGGAAGUCAAAGCUCUCAAGAUGGAGGAGCAAGGUCCAAGGAUCCUCGUCCCCGACACAACUGAGAAUCACACCUAUCCAGGCUUGGGGCGGAAAGAAGUAAGAUGUGAGCAAAAUUGAUAUGUGCUCCUGGAUUUGAGAAAGCACCUACGCCACUGGGAACAAAGAGGAAUUAUUUAAUCAUCACGCUCUGGAAAUAAUCAGGAUAAACAGCUAAACUGAAGCGAACACAGGAGAAAAUAAUUCUUCCAUCUGCUCCAAGGUGGCUUUUAUUCCUAUUGGAUGGAGAUCCCACAGAAAAUAUUGCCAGACAGAAAUGAAGGGAAGAGGAUUUCAGGAAGAGAAAGAAGGCUGAAGCCUGUGCAAGGGGCAGCCAGUGAGAAGUUUGCAGAAGGCAGUCUGCUGGUUCUAGAGCAAUGGGGCCAUCAUUUGAAGUGAGGCAGUCACAGGCAAUUUCAAGGUGAGGAGUUGGCUUUCCAGGAGAAAUCAGCAGGUGGUUCUGAGGUUCGGAUGUGUUCUUUAUGUGGAAGAUUCAUCAGAAGCUGGGUGUGGAGGUUAAAUGGGAGCCGUUGCUGUUCCCUGUUUCGGAG